UACGUAGGGUGCGAGCGUUGUCCGGAAUUAUUGGGCGUAAAGGGCUCGUAGGCGGUCUGUCGCGUCGGGAGUGAAAACCAGGUGCUUAACACCUGGCUUGCUUUCGAUACGGGCAGACUAGAGGUAUUCAGGGGAGAACGGAAUUCCUGGUGUAGCGGUGAAAUGCGCAGAUAUCAGGAGGAACACCGGUGGCGAAGGCGGUUCUCUGGGAAUAUCCUGACGCUGAGGAGCGAAAGCUAGGGUAGCAAACGGG
rnacentral:rRNA from 1 species